rnacentral:lncRNA from 1 species
UAAAGUUAUUGCUAUUCUGGGAAUCACUUCUUCAAAAAUUCUCAGCUGAUGGAUUUGAUUCAUAGAACCUAUCAAAAGAAAGAUUCUUCUGGCCUUCUUGACCUUUCUCCUUCAUCCUUUGUCCAUUCCAUGAUGGGAGUUAUGGACUUAAAGAAACAUCAUAGAUAAGAAGAAUGGAGUGAAUUUCAGUUGCUUGGGAUCCCCCGCUAUAGCAUUGAAGGAAGAAAAAAUGGGGGACUUACCUUGUCAAGGAGGGGAUGAAACCAGGAGGAAACUUAAGGGAUGCCAUUGAAAGGAAUUAAUCAUGAUGAUCUUCUUUCUGGGAAUCAGCAGUUAAUCCCUGGAAAAAAGGCAUCUUUCUUUCUACAUGUCUUUGAUGAAAUCACACCAUGACAAAUGUAAUUAGGAUCAUGGAUGGAGUGAUGUUACUUGACCUGCAGCUAAAAAAAG